rnacentral:rRNA from 1 species
UACGAAGGGGGCUAGCGUUGCUCGGAAUCACUGGGCGUAAAGGGUGCGUAGGCGGGUCUUUAAGUCAGGGGUGAAAUCCUGGAGCUCAACUCCAGAACUGCCUUUGAUACUGAGGAUCUUGAGUUCGGGAGAGGUGAGUGGAACUGCGAGUGUAGAGGUGAAAUUCGUAGAUAUUCGCAAGAACACCAGUGGCGAAGGCGGCUCACUGGCCCCGAUACUGACGCUGAGGCACGAAAGCGUGGGGGAGCAAACAGG